UGGGCUUGACAUAUAGAGGAUCGCUACAGAGAUGUGGUUUCCCUUGUGGCUUCUAUACAGGUGGUGCAUGGUUGUCGUCAGCUCGUGUCGUGAGAUGUUGGGUUAAGUCCCGCAACGAGCGCAACCCUUGUCUUAUGUUGCCAGCACGUUAUGGUGGGGACUCGUGAGAGACUGCCGGGGUCAACUCGGAGGAAGGUGGGGAUGACGUCAAAUCAUCAUGCCCCUUAUGUCCAGGGCUUCACACAUGCUACAAUGGCCGGUACAGAGGGCUGCGAUGCCGUGAGGCGGAGCGAAUCUCUUAAAGCCGGUCUCAGUUCGGAUUGGGGUCUGCAACUCGACCCCAUGAAGUCGGAGUCGCUAGUAAUCGCAGAUCAGCAACGCUGCGGUGAAUACGUUCCCGGGCC
rnacentral:rRNA from 1 species